rnacentral:rRNA from 2 species
UCUGGUAUUGAUUGGUGCUUGCAUCAUGAUUUACAUUUGAGUGAGUGGCGAACUGGUGAGUAACACGUGGGAAACCUGCCCAGAAGCGGGGGAUAACACCUGGAAACAGAUGCUAAUACCGCAUAACAACUUGGACCGCAUGGUCCGAGCUUGAAAGAUGGCUUCGGCUAUCACUUUUGGAUGGUCCCGCGGCGUAUUAGCUAGAUGGUGGGGUAACGGCUCACCAUGGCAAUGAUACGUAGCCGACCUGAGAGGGUAAUCGGCCACAUUGGGACUGAGACACGGCCCAAACUCCUACGGGAGGCAGCAGUAGGGAAUCUUCCACAAUGGACGAAAGUCUGAUGGAGCAACGCCGCGUGAGUGAAGAAGGGUUUCGGCUCGUAAAACUCUGUUGUUAAAGAAGAACAUAUCUGAGAGUAACUGUUCAGGUAUUGACGGUAUUUAACCAGAAAGCCACGGCUAACUACGUGCCAGCAGCCGCGGUAAUACGUAGGUGGCAAGCGUUGUCCGGAUUUAUUGGGCGUAAAGCGAGCGCAGGCGGUUUUUUAAGUCUGAUGUGAAAGCCUUCGGCUCAACCGAAGAAGUGCAUCGGAAACUGGGAAACUUGAGUGCAGAAGAGGACAGUGGAACUCCAUGUGUAGCGGUGAAAUGCGUAGAUAUAUGGAAGAACACCAGUGGCGAAGGCGGCUGUCUGGUCUGUAACUGACGCUGAGGCUCGAAAGUAUGGGUAGCAAACAGGAUUAGAUACCCUGGUAGUCCAUACCGUAAACGAUGAAUGCUAAGUGUUGGAGGGUUUCCGCCCUUCAGUGCUGCAGCUAACGCAUUAAGCAUUCCGCCUGGGGAGUACGGCCGCAAGGCUGAAACUCAAAGGAAUUGACGGGGGCCCGCACAAGCGGUGGAGCAUGUGGUUUAAUUCGAAGCUACGCGAAGAACCUUACCAGGUCUUGACAUACUAUGCAAAUCUAAGAGAUUAGACGUUCCCUUCGGGGACAUGGAUACAGGUGGUGCAUGGUUGUCGUCAGCUCGUGUCGUGAGAUGUUGGGUUAAGUCCCGCAACGAGCGCAACCCUUAUUAUCAGUUGCCAGCAUUAAGUUGGGCACUCUGGUGAGACUGCCGGUGACAAACCGGAGGAAGGUGGGGAUGACGUCAAAUCAUCAUGCCCCUUAUGACCUGGGCUACACACGUGCUACAAUGGAUGGUACAACGAGUUGCGAACUCGCGAGAGUAAGCUAAUCUCUUAAAGCCAUUCUCAGUUCGGAUUGUAGGCUGCAACUCGCCUACAUGAAGUCGGAAUCGCUAGUAAUCGCGGAUCAGCAUGCCGCGGUGAAUACGUUCCCGGGCCUUGUACACACCGCCCGUCACACCAUGAGAGUUUGUAACACCCAAAGUCGGUGGG